UACGUAGGGGGCAAGCGUUGUCCGGAAUCAUUGGGCGUAAAGCGCGUGUAGGCGGUUCUGUAAGUCUGCUGUGAGAGUCCAGGGCUCAACCCUGGGAUGCCGGUGGAUACUGCAGGGCUAGAGUACGGAAGAGGCGAGUGGAAUUCCCGGUGUAGCGGUGAAAUGCGCAGAUAUCGGGAGGAACACCUAUUGCGAAGGCAGCUCGCUGGGACGUUACUGACGCUGAGGCGCGACAGCGUGGGGAGCAAACAGG
rnacentral:rRNA from 1 species